rnacentral:lncRNA from 1 species
UGUUAGUGACUUUUCACCUUCAACUUUAUUUCUGCAUAUAUACAGCAUAUAUACACACACACAUACAAUAUUGCAUUUCCUGCUUCUCCCUUCUUAACUCCUGUCAUCUCUAGGGUUUAUUAAUUCUCUGGAAUUCUAGUAAAUUGCUAAUUUAUCAGAAGUUAGAGAAAGACUUUAGUCAAAAAGAUUCAGGUACUGGCCUCUUUG